UGAGAGCAGAGCCUGAGUGCGCCGCUGGUUCAACCGGGCAGGGUCGCGCCUCGCGCCAGGAUGCUGCGUCCCGCUGCCCUGUCCAGCCAGCAACCCCGAGACUGGCGCGACCCCGGGAAGAAGCAAAGGUUCUUUCGUCCAGUCGCCGCUGGAGGACCGAAAGUUUUGCUCGCUGCAAGUCCCUUCCUCCCAGAGUCCCAGUCACCCACCGUGCGAUGUCCCAGAAGGAUCCCGGAGGCUCAGUGGGGACGAAAUCGGCUGUUUUGCACCCCUCCAUCCCUAUCCCUCAGGGCAGAGCAGGGACUCUAGAGAGUACACCUCCCAGCUUCCAUCCACUUCCCCCUGUCUCCUCUCUCGGUGAGCCUUGGAAUCCUGUCUCUUCGCAGAUGCCUUCAGGAGCCAGAAGCAAAGGGGAAAUGGACAUAACUCCGAGAAACCGGAUGGAUCACAGAGAUUCCCAUUACACAGCGCCUUGGGCAUUCUCUCUCCUGUUCACUCUUCUCACUGUGACAGAGCUACUUUUAAAAAGAGAGUGAGUGCCCAGCUUCAGCAACAGCUUUGCCACCGCGAGCUUCUUUGAUCACACCCCACCACAACAACUAGGAGACCUAAACCUUGCUCACUGACAGCACUGGAAGAUCUAAACGCUGCUAUGGAUUGGAAGGUGCCCGAGGAAUGAAAGGGAACGUAGCCGAGUAACUACAGCAUCUUCCUGCUGCCUGGUUACCUGUAGGCUGUUGCUUUCCUACUCCAAAUCGAGGGCUGCUCGGUGCUUAGGAGAGUACUACAGGGAGCUCAGAUCACCAGUUCAUGGAUGAUGAAAUUGAGUCCAUCAGGGAAGCUGCUUCCCAUUGUUUCCCCCCAUCCCCUAGAUGUCAAACACCUGGCCAGUGCUGCCGCAAUGCACUGCACAACCGUGCCUCUUCUUUGUGCUAUUCACGUCACAGGCAUUGUAGAUUUCUUAUGACAACCCGCCUGGAAAAUGGCUGUGAGGUGGCACCGGGAAUGUUCAGGCUCUCUAAGGCUCACGAUGGGCUACACGGACCAGAGAAGGAACGGUGGUGUCGUCGUCGAUGACUGUGCAUGAGUCACCAGCUCCACUGAGAGUUUUACACUUUGCUGGAACAGGAGUCACUCGCCCUGUGACCACACAGGGACAGCGCUCCGUGUGGUACAGAGCAGUCUCCAGGAAAGUGUUUAAGUUGGCUGUCUCCCAAGAACUCUCUCACGCUCACACUUGGGAGAUACAAUGCCUUGGGUCAUGGAAUGAUAAGGUGGCCUUGGUUCUAAUGUUGCUUGAUUCGCCCUACGCUGGACUAGGAGGAGACACUGGCAUACAUCAGCCUAAUAAAUUUGACAGUGAGGAGGGGCAGCGUGUGUGGUUUCAAUUACAGAUUGACCCAGGAUUGAUUGAACUGUCCGCUCUGCUCUGGCAGUGAUGGAGCCCGAGGAUUGGCUGAACUCUGCCGAGAGUGUGACCCACCUCAUGAGAUUUUACGGGAGAAAGACCAUAGUGAUUUCAUCUAUUAAGAAGCCCUUACUGACCUGCAUGGUGAGGCUUGUGUGGAAUUUCAGCAUGCAGGAGAUUGAGACAGAAGGAUCACAAGUUCAAGGCCACCCUAGGCUAUGUAUCAAGAGCUUGUUUUGAACAAAGGAAAAAGAAAAAAGAAACGGCAGUACAUAAUUUUUCCUAACGGAGAGCCAGGUUCUGUAGCAACUGUGGAGACAGUCAGGGCCAGGGCGGAAGGACUUCCUGUGCACUGGACCAAUCACCUGAAUGGUAUCUUUGAGAGAAACAGGCUAAUGUCAGUCUCUCAUCCCCUCAACCCUCAUUCCACCGUGUCUUCCUAUUUGGAAUUAUGGAAGAGGAGGGAGCCAUCACACUGCAGCCCAGCCUGCUCUGACUCCCAGACAGCAAGAGUGGACUGUGUGCCCUGCAGCAGGGGGAUGGCCCUGCAGGCUGACCCUGGGAGGUCCCCAGCAGCAGAUGGAGUGGCAGCCUCUAAUGAGGAGCUUCCUGUGGUUGCUGAGGGGGGAGAGAGUGGUAAGCCACUUCCAUGGAGGAAACUGGAGCCCUGACAUUUUUUUCCCCCUUUGAGGUUGGAGCUGAGAGGGAUUGCAGACGCAGCAGCACCUGCUAUGCACACUCAGUCACAAAGCUUUCACUGAGCUCUUCUUUAAGGCUGACCCUGCCAGAGGGGCCCGCAGAAGUUCAAAACGCGUGUCUCCAUCCUGCAAAGGGAUUUCCAGAGCUGCUAGACAUCUCUGGUGGCCUGGAGACAUCAGGAGCCAUCCAUUAACCCUACGAAUGUUGAAUGUUAGUAUUGCACAGCAAUGUCUUUGCAGAGAUGAUCGGCUAAGGUUCCCCUGGGUUGACUCCUUAGACAGUAAAUGUUAUCCUGUGUAACCAGUAGAAGAGAAAGGCUGAGGGGACAAUUUAUAAUGGCACACGCACAGAGCAAGGGUGGUGUAAUGGUGUGCAAAAAGACUUGAAGUUGCUUGUGAUGGGAGGCAGCCAGAAGCACAGAAGCACUGGCCUCCAGCAGACACUGCACAGGCAAAGACCGGCUUCUUGUAUACAAACUGUACUGGGCAUGUGGCCUUGUUUUUGGCCUAGUUAAAAACAAAAUGUUGAACUUGUGGCUUCCCAGAAAUGUUAGAGAAUAAGUCUGUGUUGCUUUAUGCCUCCAGGUCCGUGGUAAUUUGUUACAGUAGCCCCAGGGCUCUCCUUGCAGAUGAAGUAGAAGCCUGGGUCUAAAGAUACUUUGGGUAAGUAGAGUCAUACUCAUUCCCUUGGGAAUAGAUAUUGAGUGACCAUGGUGGUCCAGACACAGGAGCUAUGAACAAGGACGGUGGCAUCCCUGAUUACACUGGGAUGGGAGUGGAGAACAGGUAAUACACAGACAGUGUCUUAGUCACUGUUCUAUUCCUGUGAAGAGACACCAUGACCAAGGAAACUCUUAGAACGGAAAGCAUUUAAUUAAGGGCUUGCUUACAGUUUCAGAGGUUUAGUCCAUUGUCUUCAUGACGGUGAGUGUGGUGGCACUGGAGCAGUAGCAGAGAGCUACAUCCUGA